rnacentral:misc_RNA from 1 species
GUGAAUCAUCGAAUCUUUGAACGCAUAUUGCACUCUUUGGUAUUCCGGAGAGUAUGCCUGUUUGAGGGUCAGGUAAAUAUAAAUCGGGGGUUUUGCCAUUUGUGGCAGGCACGAGUUGGAAUUGGGUCGUCUGUAGCUUUCGGUUAAGUGACUUAAAAUUUUUUAAUGAUGUCUGGACGUAUUUAAAUGUAUUUGGUACGCCUACUAAUAUCGAAUGUUUAUUAGUUUUGGGCUU